rnacentral:lncRNA from 1 species
AUACCCCCUGAGAAACAUCUACUUCCGGACAGAAAGAGGUAAAAAAUAGGUCAGUAUGUCAAAAAAGAGCCUAGGAAUAUAGGGAAACCCCAGCAAGACCUAUCCAGAGGCAGGCAGCUAGGACACCCUGGUAGUCAGAAGGUGUUGCCUGCGUUCUGCUUGCAGAUGUUGGUCUGCCCAAUGGACAGUGGGCAGUGUCACAGAGAUCCUGGGAUACUGUGAUUCUUUCAUCCUGUUCCUUAAAGGGUCCUGUGGGUCUUCACCUGGAAGACUGGACACUCGUAGAGAAGAGCAAUAGUGACCAUUGUAUACAGUGAAGUGGAACUGAGAGAAGUUUCAUCAGAUGGUGAGUCUCCCAGAGCCAGUUAUGUGAGGCCAGGGCUCCAGGAGCUGCUAGCCACGCACUGCUUGGUCCGAGAUGCCACUUGGAUGAUCACAUGCUGGUUGCUCAGAAGAGUGUGUGCUUCCAAGAAAGCAGGUUUGUUGAGUCCAGAGAUCUCUACCUCCUUCAACUAGCACCGACCAUGUGUCUGGGACAUGUGCCUAGUAGUGUGCCUUGCCUCUGUGGGUGGCACAAAAGAAAUUGUUCUGGAUUGAAUUUAGAGGAGGAGGCAGUGAAGUAGAAAGCAAAAAGGGCCCUUGCAAACACAUGUGCUAAGCGAACUCUCCAGGCACAGGCAGCUGGGGAGGUCCGUGUAGGAGGAGAAAGGGG